UGGGGAAUCUUGCACAAUGGGGGAAACCCUGAUGCAGCGACGCCGCGUGAGCGAUGAAGCCCUUCGGGGUGUAAAGCUCUUUCGGCAGGAACGAUAAUGACGGUACCUGCAGAAGAAGCUGCGGCUAACUACGUGCCAGCAGCCGCGGUAAUACGUAGGCAGCAAGCGUUGUUCGGAGUUACUGGGCGUAAAGAGUGCGUAGGCGGUUCUCUAAGUUCGGUGUGAAAUCUCCCGGCUCAACUGGGAGGGUGCGCCGGAAACUGGAGGGCUUGAGUAUGGGAGAGGAAAGCGGAAUUCCUGGUGUAGCGGUGAAAUGCGUAGAUAUCAGGAGGAACACCUGUGGUGUAGACGGCUUUCUGGACCAUGACUGACGCUGAGGCACGAAAGCGUGGGGAGCAAACAG
rnacentral:rRNA from 1 species